UACGUUUAACCUUGGAACGUGUGCACUGUCGCUGGCGAAAGGGGAAGGCAGCGAUGUCAAGACGAAAAUCUCCAAAUCCUGGUCUGGUGAGAGGCUUGAAACUGGUUGUUGGAGGAAUUGUCGGAUUUCACCUGACGUUUAUGUGCUACACGUAUCUCAGGAGGACAUACUACGAGACACCCCUGGAGAGGAAAAUCCGAGAAUCUAAUGUAGCAGUUUCACAAGAGCGAUGAGAUGCCAUGUAGAGAUGUGAUACGUGGAUUAAUAUCGAGACUGUUGCGUGAUGAACAGUGCCAGAUGUUCACCUGCAAACUGGUGUGUGACUGAUGAACCUCAGAGACUGGAGUGGUACACAGGGUUGUGGAGUAGCUCUGGGUGGGAUGUUUUAGGCUGUACAACUAGUAACAAGUCCCUCCAUAUAUGUUCAUGUACAUAAAUUUGUUAUUGUUUCAAAUGUAUGUAUCCUUAGGAUCUUACUGACCCUCUGCCAGUCAAUUGUAGGUGUUAGUGUUUUUAUAACAAAACAUGACACACUGAAGAUUCUCUAAAACAGGACUUUUUCAUGUGACAAUGUUUAUUUACAGAUUCUAUUUGGUCUCUGGUAUUUAUAAAGCUGUUCAUAAAGUUUACACAGCCCAAAGUUUUAAUCUCUCUGGAAACAAAUCAGGGAAUUAUCAGGGAAUUUUUAUAGGGGAAAACUGGGAACCAUGCAUGUUAAAAUGGACUUUAAAUCCAAGUUUAAAAAUUCCUGUUAAUAGAUUUGAUCCUAUGACACAUUCCAGCUCAGUCGAAUAGCUGCAAAUUACAUGUGUAUGCAAACAAAAUCCACAUAAUUUGUCUAUAAAAACAACAACAGUUUAUUUGAUUGAAUAUGUAACUAAGUGAAUGAGUUAAUUUUUAAAACUGUAACAGGAGAGUCCUCAGGUAGUCAAAUUUGUGAAUUUGUGAAACUUUCAAAUCCACAUAUAUCUGAUCCAGGGUUACACACCUCAGCUAGCCAUACAGUCAGUCGUACAUACCGUCCAAGUUUUAGGUUUUAGUCAGUCUGGCUGCCUUCAUAGAUUUCACACCAACCGUGAGUCCAAGCAUGAUAGAUGAACUGCUCAUGGUUUAAAUUUGACCCGACAGCAGACGCAUAUAUGAAACGUUUCAGUUAACACCCCAUGUUGUCCAGCUAUAAAACAACAAACAAAUGAAAAAGAACAAAAACUUCUCUAGCAUCCCCCUGCCCCCAGACCUGUGCCCCCAAGUUGACAUCUGUGUGUCCCCAGCUCAGCAUCUGUAUUGUAUGAGCCCACUCCGGCCAAGUCUGCAUUAAACUUUGAUUCUCA